UUAUAAGCUUCCAACAAGUUUUAUACCUCCAGAAAGUCUUCCUCAAAAACCUGGGAACUAUCUUUUUGAAAUGUAAUGAUCAAGGAAUAUAGUGCUUCUGUUCCACAGAGUUUUGUUUUCUUUUGUUUGUUUGUCUGUCUGUUUUGGAGGAUAGGAGCUUAACUUCCAUGGGCACCAAUUAGGAAACAUAGAUGGUUUAAUCACAGGGAGAAAACAUUUGCAAACUCAAGAAUAACUCAAUGUGUUCAACACCUUGCAUGAUCAACCUUAAGCCUAACUUUCUCCAGUAUUUUUUCAGUAGUUCACCCAGCAAUUAAACUGUCUCCCCUGUUGUGUAUCUGUAGGAUUCAACUGAGACUUUAAUUUUAGCCUUUCUCCUUGAUUGCAAUAUUCUUUUUUUUUUUUUAAGGGCCUCACCCGAGGCACAUGGAGGUUCCCAGGCUUAGGGUCCAAUUGGAGCUACAGCUGCUGACCUACAGCAAUGCCUGAUCCAUACCAUGUCUGGGACCAACACCCACAGCUCACGGCAAUGCCGGAUCCUUAACCCACUGAGUGAGGCCAGGGAUCAAACACGCAACCUCAUGGCUCCUAGUUGGAUUCGCUUCCCCUGUGUCAAAAUGGGAAAUGCCAGAUUGCAAUAUUCUUGAAUGAAGUCUUCCUUGCUUGUCUAACUUUUUUUUGCUGCAAUUUUUGCUAGGACAGGAUCAACAAGGUGAGGACUGAUCAUUGGAGUUACCAACAUGAAUGUCAUUUGUGAAAUAUAGCUUUUUUCUUAUAAAUUUAAUGAAUCCCAGUACAUGAUUGAUAUGAAGAAAGUUCACAGUUUUCUGGCACUGGCAACACUUCUCAGACCCCCAAAUGCCCUGAAGAUCAUAUCCUGUGCUAUCUUUGCCCAGAGUCUUCAGAUCAUUCGUGAUGACAUUAUUGCAUCUUGUAAAUCUGGUUUAAUCAUCCUCAGGUAACUACCUCCAUUUAUAUUACUGGCAAAAAAAUAUUUGAGUGAAUAAAAUGAGCAAAAUUCAAUGCA
rnacentral:lncRNA from 1 species